AUGGCUCAGAUUGAACGCUGGCGGCCAUGCCUUACACAUGCAAGUCGAACGGCAGCACGGGAGCUUGCUCCUGGUGGCGAGUGGCGAACGGGUGAGUAAUACAUCGGAACGUACCCUGAAGUGGGGGAUAACGUAGCGAAAGUUACGCUAAUACCGCAUAUUCUGUGAGCAGGAAAGAGGGGGAUCGCAAGACCUCUUGCUUUAGGAGCGGCCGAUGUCGGAUUAGCUAGUUGGUGAGGUAAAGGCUCACCAAGGCGACGAUCCGUAGCGGGUCUGAGAGGAUGAUCCGCCACACUGGGACUGAGACACGGCCAGACUCCUACGGGAGGCAGCAGUGGGGAAUUUUGGACAAUGGGCGCAAGCCUGAUCCAGCCAUGCCGCGUGAGUGAAGAAGGCCUUCGGGUUGUAAAGCUCUUUCGGUGGGGAAGAAAUUGCUUCGGUUAAUACCCGGAGUAGAUGACGGUACCCGCAUAAGAAGCACCGGCUAACUACGUG
rnacentral:rRNA from 1 species